UACGAAGGGGCUAGCGUUGCUCGGAAUCACUGGGCGUAAAGGGUGCGUAGGCGGGUCUUUAAGUCAGGGGUGAAAUCCUGGAGCUCAACUCCAGAACUGCCUUUGAUACUGAGGAUCUUGAGUUCGGGAGAGGUGAGUGGAACUGCGAGUGUAGAGGUGAAAUUCGUAGAUAUUCGCAAGAACACCAGUGGCGAAGGCGCUCACUGGCCCGAUACUGACGCUGAGGCACGAAGGCCAGGGCAGACGA
rnacentral:rRNA from 1 species